rnacentral:rRNA from 1 species
GAUGAACGCUGACAGAAUGCUUAACACAUGCAAGUCAACUUGAAUUUGGGUUUUUACCUUAGGUUUGGGUGGCGGACGGGUGAGUAACGCGUAAAGAACUUGCCUCACAGCUAGGGACAACAUUUGGAAACGAAUGCUAAUACCUAAUAUUAUGAUAAUAGGGCAUCCUAUAAUUAUGAAAGCUAUAAGCGCUGUGAGAGAGCUUUGCGUCCCAUUAGCUGGUUGGAGAGGUAACGGCUCACCAAGGCGAUGAUGGGUAGCCGGCCUGAGAGGGUGAUCGGCCACAAGGGGACUGAGACACGGCCCUUACUCCUACGGGAGGCAGCAGUGGGGAAUAUUGGACAAUGGACCAAGAGUCUGAUCCAGCAAUUCUGUGUGCACGAUGAAGUUUUUCGGAAUGUAAAGUGCUUUCAGUUGGGAAGAAAGAAAUGACGGUACCAACAGAAGAAGUGACGGCUAAAUACGUG